AUUGAACGCUGGCGGCAGGCCUAACACAUGCAAGUCGAGCGGAGCGGCGGACGGGUGAGUAAUGCCUAGGAAUCUGCCUGGGCGUGGGGGAUAACGUCCGGAAAUGGGCGCUAAUACCGCAUACUAUCAGACGAGCCUAGGGCGGAUUAGCUAGUUGGUGGGGUAAAGGCCUACCAAGGCUACGAUCCGUAACUGGUCUGAGAGGAUGAUCAGUCACACGGGAACGGAGACACGGUCCAGCCUCCUACGGAAGGCAGCAGUGGGGAAUAUUGGACAAUGGGCGAAAGCCUGAGCCAGCCAUGCCGCGUGUGUGAAGAAGGUCUUCGGAUUGUAAAGCACUUUAAGUUGGGAGGCGUUACCAACAGAAUAAGCACCGGCUAACUUCGUGCCAGCCGCCGCGGUAAUUC
rnacentral:rRNA from 1 species